rnacentral:rRNA from 1 species
CCCUACGGGGUGCCGCAGGCGGAAUGCUAAGUCAGUGGUGAAAUCUCCCGGCUUAACCGGGACACUGCCAUUGAUACUGUCAUUCUUGAGUACAGUUGAAGUGGGCGGAAUGUGUCAUGUAGCGGUGAAAUGCUUAGAUAUGACACAGAACACCGAUAGCGAAGGCAGCUCACUAAGCUGUAACUGACGCUCAUGCACGAAAGCGUGGGGAUCAAACA